AACGAACGCUGGCGGCAUGCCUAACACAUGCAAGUCGAACGAGACCUUCGGGUCUAGUGGCGCACGGGUGCGUAACGCGUGGGAAUCUGCCCUUGGGUUCGGAACAACAGUUGGAAACGACUGCUAAUACCGGAUGAUGACUUCGGUCCAAAGAUUUAUCGCCCAAGGAUGAGCCCGCGUAGGAUUAGCUUGUUGGUGAGGUAAAAGCUCACCAAGGCGACGAUCCUUAGCUGGUCUGAGAGGAUGAUCAGCCACACUGGGACUGAGACACGGCCCAGACUCCGACGGGAGGCAGCAGUGGGGAAUAUUGGACAAUGGGCGAAAGCCCGAUCCAGCAAUGCCGCGUGAGUGAUGAAGGCCUUAGGGUUGUAAAGCUCUUUUACCCGGGAUGAUAAUGACAGUACCGGGAGAAUAAGCCCCGGCUAACUCCGUGCCAGCCGCCGCAGUAA
rnacentral:rRNA from 1 species